rnacentral:misc_RNA from 1 species
AACGCACGAGACCUGCGGACCUGCGGAAGGAUCAUUACUGAGUUACCACUCUUAACCCUUUGUGAACUUUACCUAGUGUUGCUUCGGCAGGCUUUCCCUGGGAGGGAAGUAGCCUAUUUUUUAGGCAGCCUGCCAGAGGCACAUUUUACUCUGAUUUUUUUUGGAUUUCUGAGUUUUUAUAAAAAGAAAAAAACUUUUAACAACGGAUCUCU